rnacentral:rRNA from 1 species
GAUGAACGCUGGCGGCGUGCCUAAUACAUGCAAGUCGAGCGAACGGACGAGAAGCUUGCUUCUCUGAUGUUAGCGGCGGACGGGUGAGUAACACGUGGAUAACCUACCUAUAAGACUGGGAUAACUUCGGGAAACCGGAGCUAAUACCGGAUGAUAUUUUGAACCGCAUGGUUCAAAAGUGAAAGACGGUCUUGCUGUCACUUAUAGAUGGAUCCGCGCUGCAUUAGCUAGUUGGUAAGGUAACGGCUUACGAAGGCAACGAUGCAUAGCCGACCUGAGAGGGUGAUCGGCCACACUGGCACUGAGACUCGGUCCAGACUCCUACGGGAGGCCGCAGUAGGGAAUCUUCCGCAAUGGGCGAAAGCGUGACGGAGCAACGCCGCGUGAGUGAUGAAGGUCUUCGGAUCGUAAAACUCUGUUAUUAGGGAAGAACAUAUGUGUAAGUAACUGUGCACAUCUUGACGGUACCGAAUCAGAAAGCCACGGCUAACUACGUG